CAAUUGGCUACUUGCGCCCUACUCUUGCUUUACUCACCCGUCGGCCCUCCUUUAUAACAAGAUAUUGCAAAAGCGAGCCUCCCCCAAAACAGCGGCUCUCCCUCCCGAGCGCGACCUAGCCGCCGCCGCCGCCGCCACUCGCCGGCCGAAGCCUCCGCUGCCCCGCCGCCGGUACAGGAGCCUAGCAGCGCCUCCCUCCCUGGAGCAGGCGCUCCCACCCAGCAGAGCCGCCGCCGAGUCCAUAGCGGUGGUUCGGGAUCUAGCCAUGUCAACCAACAAGGGCGGAGGCGGAGGGAAGAAGAAGAAGGAGGUGAAGAAGGAAACAAAACUGGGGAUGGGGUACAAGAAGGAUGAUAACUUCGGGGAGUGGUAUUCUGAGGUUGUUGUUAACAGCGAAAUGAUUGAGUACUACGACAUCUCUGGUUGUUAUAUCUUGAGGCCUUGGGCGAUGGAAAUAUGGGAGUUGCUGAAAGAAUUUUUUGAUGCGGAAAUAAAAAAGUUGAAGCUGAAACCAUAUUAUUUCCCUUUGUUUGUUACGGAGAGUGUUCUGCAGAAGGAAAAAGACCAUAUUGAGGGCUUUGCCCCUGAGGUAGCGUGGGUUACUAAAUCAGGAAAAUCUGAUCUGGAAGCUCCUAUUGCAAUCCGUCCAACAAGUGAGACGGUCAUGUAUCCAUACUUCUCUAAAUGGAUAAGAAGCCACCGGGACUUACCUUUGAAGUGUAACCAGUGGUGCAAUGUUGUUAGAUGGGAGUUUAGCAAUCCAACUCCUUUCAUAAGGAGCCGUGAAUUUCUUUGGCAAGAAGGCCAUACAGUUUUUGCAACUAAAGAGGAGGCAGAUGAAGAGGUCCUCCAAAUAUUGGAACUCUACAGGAGAAUAUAUGAAGAAUUUUUAGCAGUUCCAGUGUCCAAAGGGAGGAAAAGUGAGAUGGAAAAGUUUGCUGGUGGACUUUAUACAACCAGUGUAGAGGCCUUCAUUCCAAAUACUGGCCGUGGUAUACAAGGUGCAACUUCACAUUGUCUUGGUCAAAACUUUGCAAAGAUGUUUGAUAUCACUUUCGAGAAUGAAAAGGGUGAACGGUCCAUGGUGUGGCAGAACUCUUGGGCAUACACUACCCGCUCGAUUGGGGUCAUGAUAAUGACACAUGGUGAUGACAAGGGCUUAGUGCUGCCACCAAAGGUGGCACCUAUCCAGGUCAUUGUUAUUCCUGUGCCAUUUAAAGAUGCUGACACAACAGCUAUUAAAGGGGCGUGCGAGUCGGCCGUUUACACCUUGAACCAAGCUGGGAUUCGAGCAGAUUUGGAUGCUCGUGAAAAUUACUCUCCAGGUUGGAAAUAUUCUCAAUGGGAAAUGAAAGGUGUUCCUUUGAGAAUAGAGAUAGGUCCAAAAGAUCUGGCAAACAAGCAGGUGCGUAUUGUCCGGCGAGACAAUGGUACAAAGGUUGAUAUUCCUUCAACCGACUUGGUUGAGCAGGUUAGAGUGUUGCUGGAUGGGAUUCAAGUAAACUUGUUGGAAACAGCGAAAGCAAAGAGAGACGCCUGCAUUAAAAUCAUCAGCACCUGGGAUGAAUUCAUAGCGGCUCUCAACGACAAAAAGUUGAUCUUGGCUCCAUGGUGUGAUGAAGAGGAGGUGGAGAAGGACGUGAAAGCUCGGACCAAAGGUGAACUUGGGGCUGCGAAAACAUUGUGUACUCCAUUUGACCAGCCAGAUCUUCCUUCCGGAACCGUGUGCUUUGCUUCCGGAAAGCCUGCUCAAAAGUGGUCAUUCUGGGGUCGCAGCUAUUGAUCUGUGUUCUGUCACCUUAUACAUUGGCAUUUUCGUGGAUCGUUUGCUCUGGCAAAGCUGUUUAUUUCUUAUAUAUACUACCUGAUUUUUGAGUAAUGCUUUCCUGUGAUACCUGUAACUGCGGAUUAGUUGUCCAUUUGCUAUUUCGUAAUGAUUGCAUGUUGAUCAGUUCGGUGUCGAGAAAUAUACAUUGUGUCAAUGUUGAGGAUAUCACUUAUCAUAAGCGUUUCGGUCUGCUGGGGAUUAGAGAUUGGCUAUUAAUCGAUUUUUGUGUGUGCAAAUUCCAG
rnacentral:rRNA from 1 species